rnacentral:rRNA from 1 species
AUGAAACGCUAGCGGCAGGCUUAACACAUGCAAGUCGAGGGGUAGAAGGAGCUUGCUCCUUUGAGACCGGCGCACGGGUGCGUAACGCGUUAUGCAAUCUACCUUUUGCAGAGGGAUAGCCCAGAGAAAUUUGGAUUAAUACCUCAUAGUAUGUGAGGAUGGCAUCAUUUUCACAUUAAAGUCACAACGGCAAAAGAUGAGCAUGCGUCCCAUUAGCUAGUUGGUAAGGUAACGGCUUACCAAGGCUACGAUGGGUAGGGGGUCCUGAGAGGGAGAUCCCCCACACUGGUACUGAGACACGGACCAGACUCCUACGGGAGGCAGCAGUGAGGAAUAUUGGACAAUGGGCGCAAGCCUGAUCCAGCCAUGCCGCGUGCAGGAUGACGGUCCUAUGGAUUGUAAACUGCUUUUGUACAGGAAGAAACACUACUUCGUGAAGUAGCUUGACGGUACUGUAAGAAUAAGGAUCGGCUAACUCCGUG